UACGUAGGGUGCAAGCGUUGUCCGGAAUUAUUGGGCGUAAAGAGCGUGUAGGCGGCCCGAUUAGUCCGCUGUGAAAGUCCAGGGCUCAACCCUGGAAUGCCGGUGGAUACUGUCGGGCUAGAGUCCGGAAGGGGCGAGUGGAAUUCCUGGUGUAGCGGUGAAAUGCGCAGAUAUCAGGAGGAACACCGGUGGCGAAGGCGGGUCUCUGGGCCG
rnacentral:rRNA from 1 species